CCCGCCCGCCCGUGGAGAGCUGCUUCCUGUGGAGUCGCACCGCCACACAGGAGGCAGGCUUCAUCCCAUUUACCCAGCGCGUGGAAGGGGUCAGCCCAGCAACACGUGCCCGGUGAAUGACCAAGCCAAUCUGUUUGACUCCAGCAUCCUCGGUCCUCCCAGGAUGCUGCACGGGGGGGAGACGCUGAGAGUGGCGAGGCUGGGUCUGGAGUGCAAGCCCGCAGCCCUGGGCCUCUCCCGACGUGAACGCGGAGGUGGGGGCCCCACGGGCCCCGGCUCUGGGUCUGGAGCCUCUGCCCCCUCCCUGGCUUGCCCUUUUUGGGCCUCAGCCGACUUUCCGACAAAGGGAAGGAGGUUUGCUCUGGAUUUCAGCCAGCUGGGCUCCUGACUGUGUUCCUUCCGUGUGAGGCCUCGUGCUCAGCACCUGGGAAGGGGCUGCAGGAUGCGGUUUCCCCCAGAGUAAAAGGAGCCACUCAGUUCUUGGAUAAGAAGGUCUUGGGAGAACCUGGCUUCUUUUCCCUGCUUCAGUCCAUCCCAGAGAGAUCAAGCUCCCCCAUCUUCAGAGACGCCGAGAAGAAUUCUCCCAGCACCUCCAGUCGUCUCUUCAGCCUCUGAACAACCAUCAUUAUCAGGAAAUCCUUCCGACUACCUAACCUGAGUUGAACAGGCUGGGCCCAAGGGCCGCUUUCUCCACAGCCGGCCUAAGCAGAUCUCUGGCUGGAAGGACUGGGUCAGCCAUUGGGGAGUCAGAAGCAUUUUUUAAUUUUUCCCAUGACCUCUCAUUAGAUAAAAACAUCUUGUCUUUGUCCAGAGCUGAUCUUCACACUGUCUGGUUUUGAGCAGACUGGAGUGAGGCAUAAAUGGCCUUCUGGAGAGUCAUAUGGCAGAUUCUCCCAAUAUUGUAAAUGUCUUUGCCCUUUGCCCCAGAAACUCUUUUUCUGGAACAUUUCUCCAGAAAUACCUGUAUGUGGGCCCUGAGGUGGACCCACAGGGAUGUUCGUGCCAGUGUUGUUUAGAAGAAGUGAACAAAAGAAAACCAUCUGUGUGCCCAUCAGUGUGGAAGGAUUAAAGAGAUGGUGCUGCUGCCAAGAGGAUAUUCAGAGAAUUUGCUUUGGGGCCAGGGCCUGAAGCAUAGUCAGUCUUCCCACUUUGCCGGUCACAUAAAUGAUCUUGUUUGAAAAACUGCUACAGAGCUGAGUUGAUCAACCUCAAUUUGCUAAUGAGGAAACCAUGCCUACGCAGCAAGUUGUUGACAAAUGAGGCACCACUGAAGUGAGGACGCAGAAGCUUUUCAAAGCCGGGGGAGCUGGACAUCAGAGGGUGAGGCAUCCGAAUAGAAAUGAUCUCCUCGUGCUGGGUCAGCACUUCCUGCCGGCGGGACUUCUGCUGCCGUUUCCUGUCCUAGUCCCCGGGGGGUGAGGGGACAGCACCCCCUCCCACCUCUUCCAGACAUAGACAGAGACAUUCUGAGGAUUUCACAGACCAGUGGAAUUCACAAGAACCCUCCGGACUCACUGUGAGUUGCAGUCUGUUCCUGCGUGAAGAAUAAGGAAAAGGGGUGGCCAUCUCCCAUCACCUUCACCCUGGUUUCCUAAAACACGAUGUGCGCUUGCUUGGCUUCGCAAACACCUCUGCACUAGUCUUUACUCGCAGUUUGCUCAGAAAGGAGCAUGUGUCAUCACGGUCCAGCACCUGGGAACCCCAGGGGCCCCGGGCACUUCCAGGGUAGGAACAGCAUGGAGUCAAAGAUGGUGCUUAGAUCCUGGCUCUCCCAGUUAGGAGUUGUGUGACUGAGGUGUUCUAAUCUGAGCCCCAGCGUCCUCACCUGUAAGGGGAGAAGUAAUGACACCUGUG